rnacentral:rRNA from 1 species
CUUCAGUGCUGCAGCUAACGCAUUAAGCAUUCCGCCUGGGGAGUACGGCCGCAAGGCUGAAACUCAAAGGAAUUGACGGGGGCCCGCACAAGCGGUGGAGCAUGUGGUUUAAUUCGAAGCUACGCGAAGAACCUUACCAGGUCUUGACAUACUAUGCAAAUCUAAGAGAUUAGACGUUCCCUUCGGGGACAUGGAUACAGGUGGUGCAUGGUUGUCGUCAGCUCGUGUCGUGAGAUGUUGGGUUAAGUCCCGCAACGAGCGCAACCCUUAUUAUCAGUUGCCAGCAUUAAGUUGGGCACUCUGGUGAGACUGCCGGUGACAAACCGGAGGAAGGUGGGGAUGACGUCAAAUCAUCAUGCCCCUUAUGACCUGGGCUACACACGUGCUACAAUGGAUGGUACAACGAGUUGCGAACUCGCGAGAGUAAGCUAAUCUCUUAAAGCCAUUCUCAGUUCGGAUUGUAGGCUGCAACUCGCCUACAUGAAGUCGGAAUCGCUAGUAAUCGCGGAUCAGCAUGCCGCGGGAAUACGUUCCCGGGCCU